rnacentral:rRNA from 1 species
UCCGUAGGUGAACCUGCGGAAGGAUCAUUAAAGAUUCGGCCCUCGGGCUACUCUUUUCUUUGGCUGUGCGCCUUCGGGCUUGCACGCCAUUGAUAAAUCACACACACCCGUGCACCCACAUUUGGUUGUGGCAUUGUCCUCACAGAUGACGUCGCUUCCAAAUCACAUUUAACCACAAGUCCAGAAUGUAAAAAACCAUAAAGUAACAACUUUCAACAACGGAUCUCUUGGCUCUCGCAUCGAUGAAGAACGCAGCGAAUUGCGAUACGUAAUGUGAAUUGCAGAAUUCAGUGAAUCAUCGAAUCUUUGAACGCAUCUUGCGCUCCUUGGUAUUCCAUGGAGCAUGCCUGUUUGAGUGUCAUUUGUACCCUCAAGCUUUGCUUGGUGUUGGGCGUCUUGUCUCCAGUCCGCUGGAGACUCGCCUUAAAGUCAUUGGCAGCCGGCCUACUGGUUUCGGAGCGCAGCACAAGUCGCACUCUUUUUCCAGCCAAGGUCAGCGUCCAACAAGCCUUUUUUCAACUUUUGACCUCGGAUCAGGGUAGGGGGAUACCCGGCUGGAACUUAAGGGCAUAUCAAUAAGGCGGGAGGGAAGUCGACUGGC